rnacentral:rRNA from 1 species
UACGGGGGGGGCAAGCGUUGUUCGGAAUUACUGGGCGUAAAGGGCUCGUAGGUGGCCAACUAAGUCAGACGUGAAAUCCCUCGGCUUAACCGGGGAACUGCAUCUGAUACUGGAUGGCUUGAGUUUGGGAGAGGGAUGCGGAAUUCCAGGUGUAGCGGUGAAAUGCGCAGAUAUCAGGAGGAACACCGGUGGCGAAGGCGGGUCUCUGGGCCGUAACUGACGCUGAGGAGCGAAAGCAUGGGGAGCGAACAGG